rnacentral:rRNA from 1 species
AUUGAACGCUGGCGGCAGGCCUAACACAUGCAAGUCGAGCGGAUGAAGGGAGCUUGCUCCCGGAUUCAGCGGCGGACGGGCGAGUAAUGACUAGGAAUCUGACUGGUAGUGAGGGAUAACGUCCGGUCACGGGCGCUAAUACCGUACAGGUUCUGAGGGUGAAAGUGGGGGAUCUUCGGACCUCACGCUAUCAGAUGAGCCUAGGUCGGAUUAGCUAGUUGGUGGGGUAAAGGCCUACCAAGGCGACGAUCCGUAACUGGUCUGAGAGGAUGAUCAGUCACACUGGAACUGAGACACGGUCCAGACUCCUACGGGAGGCAGCAGUGGGGAAUAUUGGACAAUGGGCGAAAGCCUGAUCCAGCCAUGCCGCGUGUGUGAAGAAGGUCUUCGGAUUGUAAAGCACUUUAAGUUGGGAAGAAGGGCAGUAUGUGAAUACCUUGCUGUUUUGACGUUACCAACAGAAUAAGCCCCGGCUAACUUCGUG